rnacentral:rRNA from 1 species
UACGUAGGGUGCAAGCGUUGUCCGGAAUUAUUGGGCGUAAAGAGCGUGUAGGCGGCCCGAUUAGUCCGCUGUGAAAGUCCAGGGCUCAACCCUGGAAUGCCGGUGGAUACUGUCGGGCUAGAGUCCGGAAGGGGCGAGUGGAAUUCCUGGUGUAGCGGUGAAAUGCGCAGAUAUCAGGAGGAACACCAAUGGCGAAGGCAGCUCGCUGGGACGUGACUGACGCUGAGACGCGAAAGCGUGGGGAGCAAUCAGG